rnacentral:rRNA from 1 species
AAUGAACGCUGGCGGCAUGGAUUAGGCAUGCAAGUCGAACGGGCCGGCUUUCGCAAGAGAGACGGCCGGUGGCGAAAGGGUGAGCAACUCGUGAGCAACCUGCCCCCGAGUCCGGGAUAGCCCGCGGAAACGCGGAUUAAUACCGGAUGUGGUACUCUGCCGCAUGGCAGAGCCACUGAAGAUUUAUCGCUCGGGGAUGGACUCGCGGCCCAUAAGCUUGUUGGCGGGGGAACGGCCCACCAAGGCUAUGACGGGUAGGUGGUCUGAGAGGAUGGGCACCCACACUGGGACUGAGAGACUGCCCAGACUCCUACGGGAGGCUGCAGUCGAGAAUCUUCCGCAAUGGGCGCAAGCCUGACGGGGCGAUGCCGCGUGAGGGAUGAAGGCCUUCGGGUUGUAAACCUCUGUCAGAGGGGACGAAGAACGUGACGGUACCCUCAGAGGAAGCCACGGCUAACUACGUGCCAGCCGCCGCGGUAACAC